CUAGACAUAGUGAUAGUGUAGGUGUCUAUCAGAGAGGAAGAUAGGAAGUCUUCACUGCAGGAGUUUCAUGUUUGGUACUAAAACAGAAUCCACAGAAACAAUAUAUAGUUGUGUUUGUGUCCAGGUCUCCAGUCUACUAUGGAUGAGGAGAGAGAGGAGGGAGCUCCUCUCUCUAAAACCACUCUGUCUGGGGAACAUGGCCACCAGGGCAAAGCUAAGAGUCCAGAGCAGCAGGAGAGAGCAGACUCCCCUGGACCCAGCUGUGUCUCCGUGAAGAGUAACCACUUUAUGGGUCGUGCACCUGACCUUAAAGAUGAACGCCCCUCCAGUGAGGAAGGGUAAGGAUUUGUCAAAGAUUAUAAAACUACAGCAUCUAUCAAACAUCCAUAAAUCCUGGUUCUUGUUUUUCUAGAAGAGUCCAGCAGGAAAAAGAAGACUCCCCUCGACCCAGCUGUGUCUCCAUGAAGAGUGACUGGUCUAUGGGUAGACCUCCUGGCCUUAAAGAUGGACGCGCCUCCAGAGAGGAGAGGUAGGAGUUUUAAACAAACCAGUAGUUUUACCGACAUUUCAGGAAAUAUUUGUGUCUUUGGGUUUGUUUAAUAUGUAUGGAGGAUCAAGGACUAGGUUGGCUGUGAACAGAGGACACGUGUCUAAGAUCCCGACAGAUUUAGCAUCAUUAUUCAUCUGUAAGCUGGGGUCACCGUGUCAGUGGACCACAGAUAGGAGGAUGAGAGGCCAGAGGAGGAACAGAACUUUAGAGGAUGAGGAUUUCAGGUGGAUUUCAAUUAUUUGGUAGUUUGAAGGGGAGUUGUAUAUUUUUGCUGUCUUGUUAACUGCUAAUCUGGUAUGAGUUGACAGGUCUUUCUGGCUGACAUAACGCUGCUCAACAGAUGUAAGACUUAGAGUUAGGGGUUGCUGUCUGAAUGUUAUAUGUUAUGUACCUCUGAGGAGUUGUCAUUACUGUAGACAUAGUCAUGAACAGGGCUUUGAUCUAAAUAUAAUCAUCUAGCUUUUACUUGUCCUUCAUAUGGUAUGAAUACUUUAUUAAAGGUUUUAUCAGCGAUUCUAGGCCAAACCAUAAAUAAUCACAUUCAUCUGAUCCGCGAGCUGCCCGCCCCAUAAGCAGGCCGACAAAAUAACGUGUCUCUGUAGGCAGCCUAUGCUCCGAGAUCGUACACAAAAACAGAUGGUACUAUCAACCAUUCAAAAAUAAAAUGAAUAGUAUUCAACCAAUCAGCGACAAGGGGUUGGUGUUGUGGGGUUUUGUGCUGCGUUCAUGAUCGAUUCUACUGGAUGCACGAAAUAUGGAAGGGAGGAGCGAGCUGGCACUGUUUGUAUGGGAUCUCGCUUAAGAGGUAAGAAGAGGAUCUCUCCCGGUCUGUGAAUGAAUGUUGUCCAUCUCAGAGCUCAGCAGUGAUGUAUCAUGACUCCAUCAAUAGUCUAACUUUAGAGAUGGAAAUCAGUCUAUUGAGAAGAGGUAAGGAUUUGUCAGAGAUUGGUAAAAUACAUCUAUCAGACAUCCUUUAAUCCUGGUUCUUAUUUUUCUAAAAGAGUCCAGCAGGAGAGAGCAGACUCCCCUGGACCCAGCUGUGUCUCCUUGAAGAGUGACUGGUCUAUGGGUCAACCUCCUGACCUUAAAAUUGGAUGCCCCUCCAGAGAGGAAGGGUAAGGAUUUGUCAAAGAUUAUAAAACGACAGCAUCUAUCAAACAUCCAUAAAUCCUGGUUCUUGUUUUUCUAGAAGUGUCCAGCAAGAGAGAGCAGACUCCCCUGCACCCAGCUGUGUCUCCAUGAAGAGUGACUGGUCUAUGAGUCAACCUCCUGACCUUAAAGAUGGACGCUCCGCCAGAGAGGAGAGGUAGGAGUUUUAAACAAAGCAGUAGUUUUACUGACAUUUCAGGAAAUAUUUGUGUCUUUGGGUUCGUUUAAUAUGUAGGGAGGAUCAAGGACUAGGUGGGCUGUGAUCUAAAAGAACAGACGAAACAUGUCUAAGAUCCCGACAGAUUCAGCAUCAUUAUUCAUUUGUAAGCUGGGGUCACCGUGUCAGUGGACCACAGAUGGGGUAGUUUGAAGGGGAGCUGUUUAUUUUUGCUGUCUUGUUAACUGCUAAUCCGGAAUGAGUUGACAGGUCUUUCUGGCUGACAUAACGCUGGUCAACAGAUGUAAGACUUAGGGUUAGGGGUUGCUGUCUGAAUGUUAUAUGUUAUGUACCACUGAGGAGUUUUCAUUACUGUAGACAUGGUCAUGAACAGGGCUUUGAUCUAAAUAUAAUCAUGAAGCUUUUACUUGUCCUUCAUAUGGUAUGAAUACUUUAUCAAAGGUUUUAUCAGCGAUUCUAGGCCAAACCAUAAAUAAUCACAUUCAUCUGAUCCGCGAGCUGCCCGCCCCAUAAGCAGGCCGACAAAAUAACGUGUCUCCGUAGGCAGCCUAUGCUUCGAGAUCGUACACAAAAACAGAUGCUACUGUCAACCAUUCAAAAACAAAAUGAAUAGUAUUCAACCAAUCAGCGACAAGGGGUUGGUGAUG
ensembl:lncRNA